rnacentral:misc_RNA from 1 species
ACAUGUUCGACUUCCGGUAAAAUCAACGUUAUGGAUUUCUCCAAAUUAUGUGUAUUUUUCGGCCUCGCAGCUAUGUUACAUGCCGCAUAUUCUGCCACACAACAUAGAACAUAUCUUCGGUUGACGGAGCAGGAGUUCACCAUAUUACCAAUUGAUGUAAGAGGAGCACAAAUUUGAUUUUUAGUUAGCUAUGCAAUGGAUAGGUAUUGUAUGACAAAUAUUAUGCCGAGAGUUACUGGUACCUCUGUUUUUCCAGCAUGACAAGUUAAAAUUGCCAUGUAGCCUUGUUUAUGAGAACAUGCAUUACUAAAACAUAUAGGAAAGGUUAUGUCAGCAGAAGUUAAUAUUAUACAACUAUUGCUGUUUUUGAGGUCAGUAUAAUGAUUUAGCCUCUCUUGAAAUACAAUAUUCACCUCGCCUUUGGCUAGGUGAAUAUUGUACUUCUUGGCAGCUAAAAAUCAUCGUAUUGACCUCAAAAACAGCAAUAAUUGUUUUAAUAUGAUUCAGAGAUGAAUUGAUGUAGACAUUUCAAAUUGAGUGUUAUCAAGCAAAGAAACUUCAUCACCUUUUAGUUUGAAGCCAUAGCUCAACAAAUUGAGAAUUGAGAAACAAGAUAUUUCAUUGUACGGUAAAUCAUGAAUAAUGAUAACCAAUUGUAACAUUUUGGAAAAUCACAAUCUAGUUUUAGUCCAAUGUAGAAAAAACUUAAAUAUUAUAUUGACCCCCUAGGUUAUGUGCAGGUUAAUACUAUGUUCCAUUUUUUUCUAGAUUUUGCUGAAUAUUUGUCAAUCAGAGAGUUAGGAAUGAAUAAAUCAUAUUAUAACAGAAGUUUGUAUUUCUACCUUAAAGCCUUUAUUAUAUAAUGUAAGUCAUGCAAUGGUAUUUAACAUGCACUAACGGUGAAUUUCUGUUCCAUUAGAUUAUAGUUCAGUGUUUCUUUGGACUGAUUUUUACCUGUUAUGGUGUGGUCCAUGUGGCAGGAUCCUUCAGAGAAAUCUGUGCCAGUGCAGAGCUGGAGUCCAAGUAAGUUCAGGCACCUUUGGUGUAAAUGAUGUUGGAGGUGAUUUUACAGAACUCUCAAAUACAUGUAUUUCAGUUCAGUGGUGUGAUAUGAUAAAUGUGACACUGUAUACAUGAUUAUUUUUGCCCUUCUACAUUUGCAAAUGGUUUCACUUCAUUUUAAAUUUGCCCAAAUGAAGUUGUUUAACAGAGAAAAGAAUUUAAGACAUCGGAAUUUGCCCAGUCUUAAAUUCACCCACUGACAACGAGGGCUAAAGGGGCAAAAAUUAAACGGGAGCAAAUUUUUCCCAGAAUACAGUAAGAUAAUCUUGUUUAUCUUUGUAGGACUUGGGACAUGUUGGGUAACAGACAAGCUUUCUACUCGUUCUGCCACAGAGGGAUGGCCAUUAACUACAGAAAGGAGGAGGAGGAGGAGGAGGACAGCUGAUGGAAGAGACUCGAAACAAUCAAAUGUCAAUUAUCCCAAAGAAUGUUAAACUGAAAGACCAGUAAGAUGGGCAUGCAUCCAAUUUCUUUGAAACAUCUGUAUUACAUAUGUUUGUACACGUACAUGUACAACAGUGUAUUGGAAGGUCAUAGGUAUUUUUUUAACCAUUUUUAUCAAUGACCAUAUAAAUUGCAUUGUUAAAUAAGAGGAAGAUGGACCAUGCAUGAUGUUUAACUUUCAUCUUUUUGUUGCAUUAAAUUUUGACAUAGGAUCUUUUAGGUGAUCAUUGUUGUGUCAUUCAGGUAUUAUCAGAAUACUGGCAUGUAGACUUAUUGGAUGUGUCAUAGGUAUUUGAUGAUAUGUUUGAAAAGAAAAUUAAAUGUAUUAAGAUGUAUUUUUUAACAUGUUUCAAUAUUUAAGAAUAAAUUUGAUAGCUACCAACACAGUUUAUGCUUUAUAAACUGAAGAACGGUUUAUUUAGAAUGAUAAAUAGUUCCAACCUAGUUUAUAGUUGUAUAAAUUUGGUAGCUAUCAAAUUUAUUUCUUAUAGAAAACAAAAACAUCAUGAAGAUUGGUACUAAAAAUCAUUGUGACGUAGAAUUUAUGUUUAUAAAUGAAACAAAUAUCUUAUUUAGGCAAAUAGCUUGUUAUGAAAGAAAUUGCAUUAUUUGUUGAUAUACAACUGUAUGCCUGUUUGAAUAUGUGUACAAGCUAGUGAUUCAUAUGAGAGAGAGAGAGAGAGAGAGAGAGAGAGAGAGAGAGAAACUGUAAAAUGUCAAUGCACAAAUAAAAUUGUUGAAA